rnacentral:rRNA from 1 species
AUUGAACGCUGGCGGCAUGCUUUACACAUGCAAGUCGAACGGCAGCGGGGGCUUCGGCCCGCCGGCGAGUGGCGAACGGGUGAGUAAUGCAUCGGAACGUGCCCAGUCGUGGGGGAUAACACAUCGAAAGAUGUGCUAAUACCGCAUACGUCCUGAGGGAGAAAGCGGGGGAUCUUCGGACCUCGCGCGAUUGGAGCGGCCGAUGUCGGAUUAGCUAGUUGGUGGGGUAAAAGCCCACCAAGGCGACGAUCCGUAGCGGGUCUGAGAGGAUGAUCCGCCACACUGGGACUGAGACACGGCCCAGACUCCUACGGGAGGCAGCAGUGGGGAAUUUUGGACAAUGGGGGCAACCCUGAUCCAGCCAUGCCGCGUGAGUGAAGAAGGCC